rnacentral:tRNA from 1 species
GCCGAAGUGGCGAAAUGGCAGACGCGGAGCACUCAAAAUGCUUUUCCGAAAGGAGUGCGGGUUCAAGUCCCGCCUUCGGCACCA